rnacentral:lncRNA from 1 species
GGGGGAGAGAAGCAUCCCUGGCUUCUUUUCUACCCACUGUCAAAGUCCUGUUGAAAAUAGAAGGAUGUUCACAGUGUCCCCAGCCCUGAACACCCACUCUAGACUUGCUUAACACUGAGAAUGAAAUCUUGCUGCACUGUCACAGAGGCCUCUGGGAAGUUAAUGGUUUUUAUUGACCUGUAGAAAGGUCAAUAGAACCUGUAAAAAAACUGUCAUGAAAGGUUUUUCAUCACAGGGACUGUCAGGGUCUGCUUAGUUUCCUGGCUGACCAUGGCUGGCAGAGGGAGGUGGGCUUUCCUGUGUCAUCUCAGAGUUGGAUUAGCUAGCAUCUGGCUUUGACCCUCCUGCCCCACAGCUCUGGCUCUAUGGCUUGUUUAUGACUCAUUUGCCUUCUCCUGGGCUCCUGAGGCCCCCAGCUCGAAUACACAUCUGCACACACAUGCACACACUCUAAUGUGUGCAUAUGCAAGGAUACACGUGUAUACAUAUGCAAACACACAUGUGCAAACGUGUAUGCAAGCACACAUCCACUGGCCUCUCAAGCAUGCACUCACAAAGACGGGUCCAAAAAAUUAAUUGCAGUCAACUGGGAAAGGAAUGACCAUGCAAAAUUCCAUCUCACUGAGAGCAUCGAACGGAGAGCUCUGUGUGUGCUUACUCAUUUCCUCUGCGCCAUCUUUCCUCCUGGGCCUGGUUUGGGGGAGCUGUUUGUUAGUACUUCAUCCUGUUUGAAUUAAUAAAAUUAUGCCCCAUUUGAUUCAAAUGUAUGAAUUGUCAAGAUCAUUAUACUGUCAUAUAU